CAGUAGCCGCGGGAAUACGUAGGGUGCAAGCGUUAAUCGGAAUUACUGGGCGUAAAGCGUGCGCAGGCGGUUCGGAAAGAAAGAUGUGAAAUCCCAGGGCUCAACCUUGGAACUGCAUUUUUAACUACCGGACUAGAGUAUGUCAGAGGGAGGUGGAAUUCCACGUGUAGCAGUGAAAUGCGUGGAGAUCAAGAGGAACACUCGUGGCGAAAGCGAGCUACUGGACAAUAUCUGACGCUGAGGCUCGAAGGCCAGGGUAGCGAAAGGGAUUAGAUACCCGGGUAGUCCCUGUCUCUUAUAC
rnacentral:rRNA from 1 species